rnacentral:rRNA from 1 species
CCUACGGGGUGCAGCAGUGAGGAAUAUUGGUCAAUGGGCGCAAGCCUGAACCAGCCAAGUCGCGUGAAGGUUGACGCCCCUACGGGUUGUAACCUUCUUUUUUCAAGGACUAAAGUGAGGCACUUGUGCCUGUUUGUAUGUCCUUUCUAAAUAAGGAUCGGCUACCGCCGUGUCAGCAGCCGCGGUAAUCCGUAGGAGCCGAGCGUUACCCGGAUUUAUUGGGUGUAAAGGGUGCGUAGAUGGGUUGGUAAGUCAGAUGUGAAAGUUUUCGGCUCAACCGUCAAAUUGCAAUUGAUACUGGAGUUCUUGAGUAUAGUAGAGGCAGGCGGAAUUCGUGGUGUAGCGGUGAAAUGCUUAGAUAUCACGAAGAACUCCGAUUGCGAAGGCAGCUUACUAAACUGUCACUGACAUUGAUGCUCGAAAGCGUGGGGAUCAAACAGGAUUAGAUACCCGGGUAGUC